rnacentral:siRNA from 1 species
AGGGAUUUCGGUGUGCUUGCU